GACCGCGUAGCUCAGUUGGCAGAGCAUUGGGCUAGUAUUGUAAAUUUAUCUGUAUUCUGUAAUUUCUGAACUCUUGGUAAUUUCUAGUAUUAAUAAAAAUUUUUGUUGUUGUUGUUGUUGUUGUUGUUGUUGUUGUUGUUGUUGUUGUUGUUGUUGUUGUAUUCCAAAGGUCGUAGGUUCGAUUCCCACCGUGGUCA